UUGAAACACCGGUUUUCGUACGACCACAGAAGUUAAGCAACGUAGAGUCUGAUCAGUACUUAGAUGGGUGACCACUUGGGAAUACCAGGUACCGUAAU